rnacentral:rRNA from 1 species
GGCAUCCUUCGGGGUUACAGCCUUGCUGAAUUAUUCACCCGUGUCUUUUGCGUACUUCUUGUUUCCUUGGUGGGUUCGCCCACCAUAGGACAAACCAUAAACCUUUUGUAAUUGCAAUCAGCGUCAGUAAAAAAAAUUAAUAAUUACAACUUUUAACAACGGAUCUCUUGGUUCUGGCAUCGAUGAAGAACGCAGCGAAAUGCGAUAAGUAGUGUGAAUUGCAGAAUUCAGUGAAUCAUCGAAUCUUUGAACGCACAUUGCGCCCUUUGGUAUUCCAAAGGGCAUGCCUGUUCGAGCGUCAUUUGUACCCUCAAGCUUUGCUUGGUGUUGGGCGUCUUGUCUCCAGUUCGCUGGAGACUCGCCUUAAAGUAAUUGGCAGCCGGCCUACUGGUUUCGGAGCGCAGCACAAGUCGCGCUCUCUUCCAGCCAAGGUCAGCAUCCACAAAGCCUUUUUUCAACUUUUGACCUCGGAUCAGGUAGGGAUACCCGCUGAACUUAAGCAUAUCAAUAAGCGGAGGAAAA